rnacentral:rRNA from 1 species
GUAGGUGGCAAGCGUUGUCCGGAAUUAUUGGGCGUAAAGCGCGCGCAGGCGCUUCUUUAAGUCUGAUGUGAAAGCCCACGGCUCAACCGUGGAGGGUCAUUGGAAACUGGAGAACUUGAGUACAGAAGAGGAAAGCGGAAUUCCACGUGUAGCGGUGAAAUGCGUAGAGAUGUGGAGGAACACCAGUGGCGAAGGCGGCUUUCUGGUCUGUAACUGACGCUGAGGCGCGAAAGCGUGGGGAGCAAACAGGAUUAGAUACCCUGGUAGUCCACGCCGUAAACGAUGAGUGCUAAGUGUUAGGGGGGUUUCCGCCCCCCUUAGUGCUGCAGCUAACGCAUUAAGCACUCCGCCCUGGGAGUACGGCCGCAAGGCUG